UGAUGUCUCUACUGGUGGUGUGACACUUCUUUGUUCCCUCAGGAAGGAAGUCUCUCAGCUCACGCUUCAGACGACAGAGCGGAACAGCUACAAGUCUGAGACAUCUCCAAAAAGGAACUCCCCUGGGGAAAAGGAGUGCUGGAAGUAUAGGCUCAUAUGAGCUGUGUGGAGGUCUCCUAAUGCAAGCCUUUGUUGAUUCCCCAUUACACAGAGUUGUGGGUGAACGACGACACAGAUAAUAUAGAGCUGGAGGGAU